GUUUGCACUCAUCGGGGAAGGGUGAGAACCUUCGACUAAGGUUCGAUUCGAGCGAAAGCGAGAGAACGUUGCCACAGGCAACGGCCCGAAGGGUGAGGAGCGAAGCGACGAAUAAUCCUUCCCCCACCCCCA
rnacentral:sRNA from 1 species